AAGGUAGGAGGAUCACUUGAGGCCAAGAGUUUGAGACCAGCCUUGGGCAGCAUAUUGAGGCCCCAUCUCUACAAUAGAAAGGGAAAAAGGAAACAAAGGACAAGUGCAACCUCUGUAUUAAUAGAAACCAGCUACAAUAUGGUAAAUGUUAAUUAUGUCAAAAUAACUGUAAAUGUAAAUGGUCUAAAUAAAAAAGCAGAGAUUAUGAAAAUGGAUUUAAGAAAACAAUAUCCAACUAUAUGUGAUCUGUAAGAAACCCACUUUAUAAAGGUUCAGAUAUGUUCAAAGUAAAGGGAUGGAGAAAGAUAUUUCAUGCUCAUGCUAAUUAAUAAAAAUCUGGUGUGGCUAUAUUAAUUUCAGAUGAAGCAGCCUUUAAGAACUAGGACAAUUAUCAGGACAAAAAGGGACAUUGAUGUGUCAAUAUAGGUUCAUCGGUUGUAACGAGUGUACCACUCUGGUGCCAGAUAUUGAUAGUGGGGCAGGUUGUGUGUGCGGGGGGAACAAGGGAUACACAGGAACUCUCUUCUUUUUGAUCAACUUUGCUGAAAAUCUGAAACUGCUCUGAAAAAUAAAGCCUAUUAAGAAAAAUUUGAAGGAAGGGAAAUACGUAAUGACAGAAAGCAGACCAAUGUUUGUUCAGGACUGCAAAGAUGCAUGAGGAAACUUACCAGUAUGAUGGAAAUUUUUUAUAUCUUUAUUAUUGUGAUUGAGUUAAAAACAUAUAUACAUUUGUGAAAUCUCAUGGAAUAGUUCACUUAAAAUGAAUACCUUGUAUGUAAAUUAUACCUUAAUAAACCUGAUUAAAAAACACCUAUAUAUACCUUUGAUUUUAAAACUAGGAUAGCAUGAUAAACUACUGUGGUUUCCUGAAUGUUUAGGAUGUCUUACUUUUGGAGCAGCUAAUUAACUGGUAUAUAGCAAAAAAAAAAAGUGUAUGAAUGGUUCCCUGUUUCUCAAGAUCAAGACCACUUGCUUAAAUAGAUAUAAAAAUGCUGAGUGGGUUUGAUUUUGAAAUGUUUAACGAAACUUUUGGAGGAUACUGCUAUAUGUUUAAAUUCAGUUUUUAAUAACUUGCAUAGAAA
rnacentral:lncRNA from 10 species